CAAUGUCUUGGUUGGUUUGCGAUCUGUCGGCCUCAUCGUGGCCGGCGGAUACUUCAGUGUCCUGCUCGAGCGUCGAGUGAUUUCGC